rnacentral:rRNA from 1 species
AGCGAACGCUGGCGGCGUACUUAACACAUGCAAGUCGAACGAGGAUCAUCGGUGUAGCAAUACAUUGUUGGUCCUAGUGGCGCACGGGUGAGUAACACGUGGGUGACCUGCCCUGGAGCU